rnacentral:rRNA from 1 species
CGGACUGGAGUCUGCAACCCGACUCCACGAAGCUGGAUUCGCUAGUAAUCGCGCAUCAGCCACGGCGCGGUGAAUACGUUCCCGGGCCUUGUACACACCGCCCGUCAAGCCAUGGGAGCCGGGGGUACCUGAAGUGCGUAACCGCGAGGAUCGCCCUAGGGUAAAACUGGUGACUGGGGCUAAGUCGUAACAAGGUAAC